CCUACGGGUGGCAGCAGUGGGGAAUAUUGCACAAUGGGGGGAACCCUGAUGCAGCGACGCCGCGUGAGUGAAGAAGUAUUUCGGUAUGUAAAGCUCUAUCAGCAGGGAAGAAAAUGACGGUACCUGACUAAGAAGCCCCGGCUAACUACGUGCCAGCAGCCGCGGUACUACGUAGGGGGCAAGCGUUAUCCGGAUUUACUGGGUGUAAAGGGAGCGCAGACGGCUGUGCAAGUCUGGAGUGAAAGGCGGGGGCCCAACCCCCGGACUGCUCUGGAAACUGUAAAGCUGGAUUGCAGGAGAGGUAAGCGGAAUUCCUAGUGUAGCGGUGAAAUGCGUAGAUAUUAGGAGGAACACCAGUGGCGAAGGCGGCUUACUGGACUGCAACUGACGUUGAGGCUCGAAAGCGUGGGGAGCAAACAGGAUUAGAUACCCGAGUAGUC
rnacentral:rRNA from 1 species